UGGGGAAUAUUGCACAAUGGGGGAAACCCUGAUGCAGCGAUGCCGCGUGGAGGAAGAAGGUUUUCGGAUUGUAAACUCCUGUUGAAGAGGACGAUAAUGACGGUACUCUUUUAGAAAGCUCCGGCUAACUACGUGCCAGCAGCCGCGGUAAUACGUAGGGAGCGAGCGUUGUCCGGAAUUACUGGGUGUAAAGGGAGCGUAGGCGGGAUGGCAAGUCAGAUGUGAAAUCUAUGGGCUCAACCCAUAAACUGCAUUUGAAACUGUAGAGCUUGAGUGAAGUAGAGGCAGGCGGAAUUCCCCGUGUAGCGGUGAAAUGCGUAGAGAUGGGGAGGAACACCAGUGGCGAAGGCGGCCUGCUGGGCUUUAACUGACGCUGAGGCACGAAAGCGUGGGUAGCAAACAGGAUUAGAUACCCUGGUAGUCCACGCUGUAAACGAUGAUUACUAGGUGUGGGGGGUCUGACCCCUUCCGUGCCGGAGUUAACACAAUAAGUAAUCCACCUGGGGAGUACGGCCGCAAGGUUGAAACUCAAAGGAAUUGACGGGGGCCCGCACAAGCAGUGGAGUAUGUGGUUUAAUUCGAAGCAACGCGAAGAACCUUACCAGGUCUUGACAUCCAACUAACGAAGUAGAGAUACAUUAGGUGCCCUUCGGGGAAAGUUGAGACAGGUGGUGCAUGGUUGUCGUCAGCUCGUGUCGUGAGAUGUUGGGUUAAGUCCCGCAACGAGCGCAACCCUUGCUAUUAGUUGCUACGCAAGAGCACUCUAAUAGGACUGCCGUUGACAAAACGGAGGAAGGUGGGGACGACGUCAAAUCAUCAUGCCCCUUAUGACCUGGGCUACACACGUACUACAAUGGAUGUUAACAGAGGGAAGCAAGACAGCGAUGUGGAGCAAACCCCUAAAAACAUUCUCAGUUCAGAUUGCAGGCUGCAACCCGCCUGCAUGAAGAUGGAAUUGCUAGUAAUCGCGGAUCAGCAUGCCGCGGUGAAUACGUUCCC
rnacentral:rRNA from 1 species